GAGUUUGAUCCUGGCUCAGGACGAACGCUGGCGGCAUGCCUAAUACAUGCAAGUCGAACGCACGAAGUUGAAAAGCUUGCUUUUCGACCAAGUGAGUGGCGGACGGGUGAGUAACACGUGGGUAACCUGCCCAUAAGAGGGGGAUAACAUUCGGAAACGGAUGCUAAUACCGCAUAUUUCAAGUGACCGCAUGGUCGCUUGAUGAAAGGUGGCUUCGGCUACCACUUAUGGAUGGACCCGCGGUGCAUUAGUUAGUUGGUGAGGUAAUGGCUCACCAAGACCAUGAUGCAUAGCCGACCUGAGGGGGUGAUCGGCCACACUGGGACUGAGACACGGCCCAGACUCCUACGGGAGGCAGCAGUAGGGAAUCUUCCGCAAUGGACGAAAGUCUGACGGAGCAAUGCCGCGUGAGUGAAGAAGGUUUUCGGAUCGUAAAACUCUGUUGUUAGAGAAGAACAAGGAUGAGAGUAACUGCUCAUCCCCUGACGGUAUCUAACCAGAAAGCCACGGC
rnacentral:rRNA from 1 species